GGGAUACAAAAUAUAAAAAAGUGAAACAUCUAUCGAUAGCCCAAUACAUCUGAUACAGGUAUGUUGUUCCUCCAUAUGCAUUGCAAUAUUCUAUCCAAUCUAUCCAUCCUUGCAGUUCAACAGAAAGAUGAACAUAUUGGAAGGACUCAGUUUGGUGGUCUAGGUACUCACCUGGUAAGAUCCAGAUGCACGUGGGUGCAGUGUUUGGCAGAAACCCAGAGAAACCAGAUGGGUCCUGCAUGGUUGUCCUUACAGGGAACAGCAGCCUGACGCUUGGAGGUGCCAAAGAUGUAGAAGAGCAUCCAGGCAAUAUUGAUCAGCAUCACAACAACAGAUACUUCAGUCAUGAUUAAACAAGGAUGGAUGAAUUCCUGUAGCAUGAAUGGGAAAAGAGGAGAGACAGCCCACUGAAUCAG